rnacentral:rRNA from 1 species
GGCUCCUUGUAAUAUAUAGAUAAGGAGUCGGACCUGCCCAGUGAAUUUUUCAACGGCCGCGGUACUCUGACCGUGCAAAGGUAGCAUAAUCAUUUGCCUUAUAAUUGAAGGCUUGUAUGAAUGGUUUGACAAGAAUAUAGCUGUCUCUUUAUAAUUAAAUAGAAUUUUAUUUAUAGGUGAAGAAGCCUAUAUAAUAUUGAAAGACAAGAAGACCCUAUCGAGCUUGAAAGAAAUUAAUAAAUUCUGUAUAUUUAAUAUAAUUUAAAAAAUUAAUUAUUAAAAAUUUUGGUUGGGGCGACUAAGGAACAAACAAAGCUUCCUUUAUUUUAGUAAUACAACCAAGUAAGGAUCCAAAAACUUUGAUUAAAGGAAUUAGUUACCGUAGGGAUAACAGCAUUAUCUUUUUUGAGAGCUCUAAUCGAAAAAAAGGUUUGUGACCUCGAUGUUGGACCAGAAUAUCCUGAAGAUGCAGCCGUCUUUAAGGGUUGGUCUGUUCGACCAUUAAAAUUCUACGUGAUCUGAGUUCAGACCGGCGUGAGCCAGGUCAGUUUCUAUCUUCAAUUUUUAUAAUAAGUUUAGUACGAAAGGACCAAUUUAUUACAACAUAUUUGUUAUAUUUAGAUGAAAUAUAAAGAAAAAUUAAAUAACUAAAUGUAAUCAAAUUAGCAAAGAUAAUGCAAUUGACUUAGGAUCAAUAGACAUAGGUGAAAUCCCUUUAUUUGAUAAAAUAUAAAGGUGGCAGAUUAA